CAAGGUCUUGCACUCACACACACAGCACAAAAGUGUGUAAAAGUGUCAAAGGCUGGGAAGAUUUUAAGAAGUUUUCUUUUAAUUUGCAAAUUUUUUUUUCGUUUUUUUGACCCAAGGUUUUUUCAAAAGGACUGAAAAUCAAAAUGGCAAUUUGCUCAAUGUGCCUAGAAUUUAGAGUUAUUAAUGUGAAGCUGCCGUGCGGCCACAUGUACUGUGUUUUUUGCCACAAUUGUAUGGUAGAUAUCGGGCUUAUAACGAGCAAUGGCUGUCCUCUAUGCAAACAGCCUUCUACUGAUGCCGAUGGUGCCGAUAAUGGCGGUGCUCCUGGUGCUCCUGACAAAGUACAAGUAAAAUAAAACAAGUCUGCCGCAACACCGAACAUCGCCCAAUAUAUAAUAUUGUUGUUGUUUUCCAUACAAUGUGCAAAUAUUAGUGAUAUAAUAUACAGGUGCUAAAGAUUUGGUUCUGUUUUCGGGUGAAAAGUGUCUACAUCCAACUAGCUGCAAGAAUAGUUUCCCAAAAUGCAAAGCAACCCUCGUAAAACCCAACCGAACGGAAUAAGCUGCUGUAGCGUUUGCUUACAAACUGCCUAAAAAUGGAAUGGAUGAUGGAUGGAUUAUAUUAUUGCUGCUAUAGCAACGACGCAUCUGCAAAGGGGUGCAAUCAAAUCUCAGGGCAGCAGCACAGCUCUAGGGUGCAAUCAAAUCUCAGGGCAAGCGCAACGUGAGGGUUCAAUCAAAUCUCAUGGCAUCCCAAAUGGGGUGCAUCUG